rnacentral:lncRNA from 10 species
AUUUAAAAUGGUGGGUGAUGUGGGAAGGUAUCCCAACAUGAUCAUGCAGUGGCAUAAUCAUGGCUCACUGCAGCCUUGUCCUCCUGGGCUCAAGACAUCCUCCCGCCUCAGCCUCCAGUGUAGCUGAAACUAUAGGCAUGUGUUACCACACCCAGCUAAUUUUUGAUUUUUUGUGGAGACAGGAUCUCGCUGUGUUGCCCGGGCUGGUCUCAAACUUCUGGACACAAACAAUCCUCCACAUUGGCCUCCCAAAAUGCUGGAAUUACAGGUGUGAGCCACUGGACCAGCAGGACUCUAAAUUUUGGUGCUCAAAAAACAUUUGUUGAGUAAGUGAACCUGAGACUAUCAACAAGCAUUAUUUUAAAAUCACUAGCAAAGGAGAUUGUAAAAUCAGGAAGUAUAUCUAAGUCACCUCCAGUAGCCGUAACUCUACCUUGUCCAGUAAAAGGGACAGGACCUCUAUAUGUUGCUCAGGCUGGAGUGUGGCAGCUAUUCACGGAUGUGAUUAUAGUACACUACAGCCUCAACUCCUGGGCUCAAGCAAAGCUUCCCAAAUCGGUGGGACUAUAGGCACACGCCACUGUGCUGUUCAAUAAUAAGAUUUCUGUCUAACACCACUGCGCCUGUUUCCUUGAUAAAUAUUUAUUAUCUGUGUUUAUUUAUUUUAUCCUGGGAGAACAUACAAGAUUUCGGGGUCAGAGAACAGACUGAUUGUUUUAUGUACAGCAAUAACAGCACUGGCUCCCCACUCCCUAUUUCUCCUUUGAAGCCGUGCUGUGAAGGUAGAUGUCAGCCUGCACAUGCAAAGGGGUCGCUGCAUAAGACGAAUCCUGAAAUUGUGUAACUGGGAGUUUAUAUGAAGUGCCUCUCAGCAGCCCCGCCAACCCUCCUCCCUCUAGAGAGGGGAAGAGAAGUCAUCACUGUCUAAUGUGAAGGAAUUCUCUCUGGGAAGGGAGGAGACGGUCCCUAAAUUGUUACAACCCUUUGAAAUGUAAAGGAAGCCUCUGGAUUGUUUCUCAUUCUUUUAAAUGUAAAUAAAUGGCAAAUGGCUCUCAAGGCGAUCAAUUUUUAACUCUAUCUGGA